GAUGAACGCUGGCGGCGUGCCUAAUACAUGCAAGUCGAGCGAACAGACGAGGAGCUUGCUCCUCUGACGUUAGCGGCGGACGGGUGAGUAACACGUGGAUAACCUACCUACAAGACUGGGAUAACUUCGGGAAACCGGAGCUAAUACCGGAUAAUAUAUUGAACCGCAUGGUUCAAUAGUGAAGGACGGUUUUGCUGUCACUUAUAGAUGGAUCCGCGCCGCAUUAGCUAGUUGGUAAGGUAACGGCUUACCAAGGCAACGAUGCGUAGCCGACCUGAGAGGGUGAUCGGCCACACUGGAACUGAGACACGGUCCAGACUCCUACGGGAGGCAGCAGUAGGGAAUCUUCCGCAAUGGGCGAAAGCCUGACGGAGCAACGCCGCGUGAGUGAUGAAGGUCUUCGGAUCGUAAAACUCUGUUAUUAGGGAAGAACAAAUGUGUAAGUAACUAUGCACGUCUUGACGGUACCUAAUCAGAAAGCCACGGCUAACUACGUG
rnacentral:rRNA from 1 species